rnacentral:rRNA from 1 species
UACGUAGGGGGCUAGCGUUGUCCGGAAUCAUUGGGCGUAAAGAGCGUGUAGGCGGCCCGGUAAGUCCGCUGUGAAAGUCGGGGGCUCAACCCUCGAAUGCCGGUGGAUACUGUCGGGCUAGAGUGCGGAAGAGGCGAGUGGAAUUCCUGGUGUAGCGGUGAAAUGCGCAGAUAUCGAGAGGAACACCUGCGGCGAAGGCGGGUUGCUGGGCUGACACUGACGCUGAUGCGCGAAAGCCAGGGGAGCGAACGGG